UGACGGUACCUCNUAAGCAAGCCCCGGCUAACUCUGUGCCAGCAGCCGCGGUAAUACAGAGGGGGCAAGCGUUGUUCGGAAUUAUUGGGCGUAAAGGGCGCGUAGGCGGUUUUUNAAGUCGGAUGUGAAAUCCCUCGGCUUAACCUAGGAAGUGCAUCCGAAACUGUNGNGCUNGAGUNNUGGAGAGGGUNGUGGAAUUCCCGGUGUACAGGUGAAAUUCUUAGAUAUCGGGAGGAACACCGGUGGCAAAGGCGGCNCCUGGNCAGAUACUGACGCUGAGGCGCGAAAGCGUGGGGAGCAAACAGGAUUAGAUACCCUGGUAGUCCCCGCNGUAAACGAUGGGCACUAGGUGUUGGGGGUAUUGACCCCUUCNGUGCCGUAGCUAACGCNUUAAGCCCCCCGCCUGGGG
rnacentral:rRNA from 1 species